AUCUAUCUAACGAUUUCCAAAUAGGACGAAACGCGCGUCCUGGAU
rnacentral:hammerhead_ribozyme from 1 species